rnacentral:rRNA from 1 species
AGAGCGAACGCUGGCGGCAGGCCUAACACAUGCAAGUCGAGCGCCCAGCAAUGGGAGCGGCAGACGGGAUAGUAACACGUGGGAACGUACCUUUCAGUUCGGAACAACCCAGGGAAACUUGGGCUAAUACCGAAUACGCCCGUAAGGGGAAAGAUUUAUCGCUGAAAGAUCGGCCCGCGUCUGAUUAGCUAGUUGGUGGGGUAAUGGCCCACCAAGGCGACGAUCAGUAGCUGGUCUGAGAGGAUGAUCAGCAUCACUGGGACUGAGACACGGCCCAGACUCCUACGGGAGGCAGCAGUGGGGAAUAUUGGACAAUGGGCGCAAGCCUGAUCCAGCCAUGCCGCGUGGAUGAUGAAGGCCCUAGGGUUGUAAAGUCCUUUCGGCGGGGAAGAUAAUGACGGUACCCGCAGAGAAGCCCCGGCUAACUUCGCGCCAGCAGCCGC